rnacentral:snRNA from 1 species
AAUAAUUCGAAUAGUUGGCUUAGAUCAAGUGUAGUAUCUGUUCUUUUCAGUUUAAUCUCUGAAAUGUGACUACGGUCACAAUACAUUGAUUAAUCCUAUUUUUGCACCUCGCUCGAGAUUUCCUGUGCUUGCACAGAGGUCUCUUGCACCGUGUCCGAGGUCUUACACUGCCGCCUUGUGACGCGAACCACC